GAUGAACGCUGGCGGCGUGCCUAACACAUGCAAGUCGAGCGGACGGACGAUAAGCUUGUUUCUUUGAUGUUAGCGGCGGACGGGUGAGUAACGCGUGGAUCACCUACCUAUAUGUCUGGUAUAACUUCGGGAAACCGGAGCUAAUACCGGAUAAUAUUUUGAACCGCAUGGUUCAAAAGAGAAAGUCGGUCUUGCUGUCUCUUAUAGAUGGAUCCGCGCUGCAUUGGCUAGUUGGUAAGGUAACGGCUUACCAAGGCAACGAGGCAUAGCCGACCUGAGAGGCUGAUCGGCCACACUAGAACUGAGACACGGUCCAGACUCCUACGGGAGGCAGCAGUAGGGAAUCGUACGCAAUGGGCGAAAGCCUGACGGAGCAAGGCCGCGUGAGUGAUGAAGGUCUUCGGAUCGUAAAGCUCUGUUAUUAGGGAAGAACAGAUGUGGAAGUAAAUGUGCACAUCUUGACGGUACCUAAUAAGAAAGCCACGGCUAACUACGUG
rnacentral:rRNA from 1 species